AAGUCGUAACAAGGUUGCCGUAGGUGAACCUGCGGCAGGAUCAUUACUGAUCAAAAAAGUCGAAUUUUUCCCUUUCGAGAGAAAGAUUCGCAACUCGCUUGGUGUGAGAAACCCUCUCGUCUCUUUUACGUACGAGAGGUGUCUUCUCUUUGUGGAAAAAAAAGUUUCGUCUCUCUUUCGUACGAAGCUUUUCCAACCAGGCACCCACAACAGAAACAAACGAGAAAAAAAAUAUCGCACCUUCGGUGGAUCACUCGGCUGGUG
rnacentral:misc_RNA from 1 species